rnacentral:lncRNA from 1 species
UAUAUUAAAAGAGAAUUGCUUUUUACUAUUGCAAUUUAUUUGACUAUUAAACCAGCAAUAUUUUUAAAAUAUAUUGCUGGUUUAAUACAAUUUAUUGAUAUUAUUUCAUUUAUGAAAAAAUUGGGUGCUAGGUUUGAAUACUACAAACAACCUUUGGUCCAAAUACUUCAUUCAUCAUAAAUUUAAUAAAGUUUGUUUGUGAUGAUUAAUGUGCCACCACAUAAAUCUUGUAAAUAUUAAUAAGCUAUGGCAAUAAACGUAAUGUUGAAACAAAAAUGCUUAAUCUUAAGUUGAAUGAUUCAUCUAAAUUUGAAUCUGCUGUGAAGUAAAUUAAGUAUUCAAUCAUAAAAUAUCAAAUCUGAAGACAUGAAUUUUUUAAUGGAGUUUUGAUCCAUAAUAAUCCAAUUCACAAAGUUAUAAAAAGACCAUUAACUCAAGUCUUUGUAACUGUGGUUCGUUGUUAAUGGAUUGAACCUUUUUGUCAAGUAAAAAAUUAAAAAGGAUGCAAGCACUAAAGAAGAAAAUAACGUUACAAAUUGAAGCAGAAUUUUAUAACAAAUCAUGACAGCGAUUGGAUAUGAAUUCCAGAUAAGCGUCAUUGUCGCAUGGUUGUGAUCAAAUCAUUGUACAAUAGCUGUUCUUAUGCCGCGUAAUUAUAUUUUGAAAUUCAAGCCUGUUUUUCAAUUUAUUCAUAAAACUUGAAAAUAUCAAUUAUCAUGUGUCUAAUACUUUUUAUUAUCCUUAAACUAAUGAAAAAUACGCCAAUUUUUA